GUCCUCUAGAGGAUUUGCUUCAUUUGACAUAUCACGUUUUAAAAAUAUGAGUCAGUCUCUAUCCUACCAGAGAGAUACUGCCUGUGCAUCUCCUGAGAGUCCUAAACAAGGUGACUUGUUCUUCUCUCAACAGUUUAUGACAACCUGCAGAGCCUGGAGGAGCAUGAGACAUGUGAGGACCAGAAAGAUCCCAUUGUUAAUAUCAUACCCGACAACUACUCCAGCUCUCUUUUGAACAUUCAAAUUUGUGUUCCGCUGGCUACAAAUGACCUUGGGAACCAUGUGCUGGCAUGCUUCCACAAGAACAGCCGAUUAAGAAAAGUCAUUGGAGAGAACCAAGGUGCUUCAGUACAACGCCUGUAAAAAAAGAAGCUUCUGGUCUCUCCAGAGUUCAUGGAGGUGCAUGCGCUGGAUGGGAGAUUCAUUACUUUGGUGAGCGCUCAGACCCAGACAGAUUGGGAGUGGGUGGAGCAGAGCCUCUCUUUCAGCUGUCAAGUUCAAAAGGAAAUUGAAGAUCCCCAGUUGUUGCAGGCAGAAGUGGAGACCGAGGAUGAAAACAUUCCAAAAGAGCACGUGGGUCUGCCACGUCUCAUAGCAUACAAGCCAGAACCAAAACAAGCUCUUCAAGUUGAGAAGGUUCCAGAGGUUGAAUUGAAACACAAUGUGCAUCUUGCUCAGUGUGACUAUUGCCAGCAACUCUGUCAGCCCUUCGUGCACAGUGAACUAUGGGAAAAUGAACCCAACUUUGAGAGGCUCUUUUGUUGUGAGCAAGCUAGACAAAUGAGAGAGCUUAUUUUGGAAGAAGGGGGAAAAUUGGCACAGAAUGAGUCAAAAAGAAAGAUUGAUGUGGAGCCUCAUGCACACAUCAUAAGUGAGGAGGAGAGGGAAGCUGCUAAAGAGAAGGCAAGGGAGAGGCUGAGCCAGAGAAAACCAAUGACAACCAACAAUGACAACUUGAAUAAAGACUUAAGCCGAAUUGAGAUCAAGCAUACAUUCACCUACAGGCUGUCAAAAGAGAUUCCCUACAUCAGUGAUGAGGCUCACAUCCCUCCAAUCAAUCUCAAAAAUACUACCGGCAUGUUUACACUUCAAGAAGAGACAGAUAGUGAGCCAAAGCUGAAGGAAGUUACUAAGAAGUUCUAUGAAAACAGGACUUGUUUUCUCACCUUGUGUCCAGAUAGAACGGGUAAUGUUUUUUAUCCUUCUGGGAAAAUAGCCAUUAUAAUAUCCUCUGCCGAAGCCGCUGACUUCACUUAUAUAAUCCUGGAGGACAAGGACGUGGCGCCCAGCAUCAAAGGCAUUUUCACAAAUAAAGGCCAUGCCACAUGCUACCAUCCCAAUGGAAUAAUAUGGGUGAAUCUGACCCCUAUUGGAGGUCUGUGCUUCAGUGAGGCAGGAGCUUUGAGGAGGCGUUGGAGUUGGCUUGAUUUCUACCCGCAUGUCCGUAAGCUUCCUUUCAAGCCUCUCACCUUUGCCCUGGGUCCAUACAUCAGUGUGCGCAUACAUUCACAAGAACAUGUGUACAUCACGUUUGCACAUCAUCAAAACAGCGUGCGCUUCAAUGUCGGGUCAAAGCUUAAGCUCAUUUGUCCAGAGAGCCAUGAAAAGAAGCCGGAGCAAGACGUUGUGGAGAGAUAUAUCCGAACGAAGAGCUCAGAGAUUUACUCUCUGCUCGGCCAGAUGCAGACCUGCAUGACCCACCACUCUGCAAAUCUGCACAAUGUUAAGCCACAUUAGUUUCAUUGCCUAAAUGCAGCGGCUAAGCAGACAAAUGGAAAAAGAGAUGUCACCCAAAAAGAUAAAGGACUAAGUAAAGUGAGAGAAAAACAGAACUGGCAAAACUAAUAUAAUUUAUGGUGGUGUUACAGUUGACUGCCUUGUAUUGUUUUAAACAGCUUGAGUAUGUGAUGCUUACAGUCAAUCCAAUUACAUUCAGACUACAAAGGGCUGAGCUUUAUAGAAAAAGAUUUGUAAAAGAUUGGGUCAAUUAGUGUGAGAUGCAAACAGUUUUGUAAACAUUAGAAAUCAGUUCACAGUUAAAAUAUCCUGCCAAGGUCGGAUUUGAGGAGUUAUCUGGCAGGACAAAGUAAAAAAUCUUAGGGAAAAAUCCAAGAUUGAUUGCAUAUUGGUCGUAUUUAAGAAGAUCAUCAGGAACAAAUGAAUCUUCCUGUCAUACCAGUGGGAUCUUUUAGCAUGUAUUUGAGGCUAAUUGGAACGUUUUCACAAAAGAGAAAAGCGACAACUUGCAUGAUGAGUAAAAAAUGUGAAAUCCAGCUAAAUAUUUAGCCUUUUGUAAUGGCACAGUUAAUGACAUAAUUAAUGUCACUGAACUGACUCAGUAAGGCCAGUUCCACAUCAAUAUCUAUCUAAUAAUACUGUACUUGCGAACAUUAGCUAACAUUAGUCACCAUGAGCUCUUAGUCAUAUCAGACCUAGUAAGACAGCAAUAAAACCCCUAAAGCAUUGUGCUGAGCAAACUUAUAUUGUUUAUGAAUUCCAGCUAAUCAUUUGUGACAGCAAGAAUGUGGUCUCUCUUCCUUCAAAAGUCUAAUUUAACAUUUAAGGAGACCAAAGUAAUUGUUCCAACACCUGACUUUUAAUUGCAGCUGGUCUUGGUUUUCCCAACACAAGAAAAACACAAGCUAUAAAAUACAUGUCUUCUACUUAACUGGAAAACUAAAAAGUCAAGCAACAACAGCUAAUAAACACUAAAUGAUGAAUACCCAGAUUUGAACAGAAAACCCUCUCACACAUUUCUUUGCAUUCCAUUCCACCUUUUAUCUACUAGAAACAUCACAUGCCUGUGUUAUCACAAUUGAAACACCAUUUCACGCAUUCUAACUAAUUCAGGGCUAUUUCGCAUUGAAAUUCUGCUACUGACAAACACCAAACAGUUAUAAAUGCUCAGCUGCCACUAAAAUCCCUUCUCUGCACCUAUCACUGUAACCAACUGUUCAUCCAGACUUGUGUCCCCUUAUGUCCCCAUAUCAAACCUGAUACUGUCCUUGCAUUGCAACACAGGUUCCUUUGGGUCCACUGAGUAAACAUUUGCAAAUGCUGAAUUGCAUGAGUUGGAGACUAAUCUAUAAUUUUUGUACAGUAAAGCUUACCAUUAUAUGGACUUAGUAGAGUUUAAAGGAAAUUUUAAUGGCUGCAGUGCUCCUCCAGUCUAUUGCAACUUCUUUUGCACUCCCCAAAUUUUGCAGGCAUACAUUUUAUUAAAAAUAAUUACCAUUCAAUCAGUUUCUGUGAGGCCUGAUAACCUUUUUUUUCCAAGAGUCUCAAGCGUUUGGGGCUUUUUUAACAUGACAAAAGCACAGGUAAUCCACAGCACAAUAAAACCCAUGAAUGCUCUUGAAAUAAACUCUAUUUGUGGCAUACCUUAUCAAUAAAAGACAAUGACAUCAUACAGUACAUUAUGAAGGCUUUUCAGCCACCAUAAACAUGCUGCGGCAAAUCAGUCUGAUCGUCGUUUCAAUGCAUUUCCAAUUUACUUAUAGCAUGCAACAUUUUUAUGUUUUAUUUACAUUAUGUUAUUACUAUAUGGCCUAGUGGAAGACGGUUAAUUGGUGUUAUUCCCAGAUCACCAAAUUAUUGCGUUGCUAUGGCCACUGAAUGUUGGUACAUGUGUGAUUUACACUUAAGAUUUUUAUAGCAAUUGCAGAUGGUGAAAACAAGCCACAGAGAGAUAAAUAUUUUCUCUCCUUAUCUUUCUCUCACUUCCUCUCAAAGUCAAGUCAAGUCACUUGCUUUACUGGCAUGAGCACGAUUAAGUACAGGUAGUGCAAGCUUUGCAAUUUAAGUAUAAUAAGUCUGAAUCUUUUCAGAAAAGCCAAUGGCUUUCACAUUUCUACCUUGUAUAUGAUAAAAUAAAAAUUGGAAACAGAUUUAUUUAAAAGAAAAUAUAUAAUAAGACGAGAUGUAGUUUAACAAUGUAUUCCAGUGAAUUGGAUAUCCAAAUGUAAUGGUAAUGGUAAGAACUAUAGGGGAAGAGAGAUGGAGGCAGGUUUUUUGAAAGACCUCAGUGCAAUUUUUUAUCCUUUCUCUCCCAUUUUGUGUCUACCAUGGAAACAGUUGCAUGGUUGCCAUGGUACACAUGCUGUUUUUAUUUGGCCAUUCUGAAUCUGAUUCAAAAUGUUUGCCUUUAUUGUGGUUUCUCUAUUUUACAACAAGUUAAGGGUUUCAUAGAAUUGAAGAUGCAAACACUUGACACGGCAGGCAAAUCAGUAGAGAUGGAUUCAUCAGCAAGUCUUGGCCUUGAAACCAUACAGAGCGUAAGUUCACGUGAAUAUCUGACGAUCCAUGCAUAUGACGGGAGAGUCGUCACCAGAGUCAGCGUUGGUACCCAGACCGACUGGAG